rnacentral:RNase_P_RNA from 1 species
UGAGUGGGCCGGGCGAUCGCCGGCUGUUUUCGGGAAUGUGCAGCAUUUUUUGUGCCAAUUCGAGGGCGGCGGGAGGAAAGUCCGGGCUCCGGAGGGUGUGAUGGUGGGUAACGCCCACCGGCCGAAAGGCCAGGGAAAGUGCCACAGAGAAGAGACCGCCGCCGGCUUUUGUCAGCGGUAAGGGUGAAACGGUGAGGUAAGAGCUCACCAGCAGACCGGGUGACCGGUUUGGCUUGGUAAACCCCAUCAGGAGCAAGGCCGAACAGGAAGGAGAUCGCCGUUCGCGGCGGCCCGGGGCGACC